UACGUAGGGUGCAAGCGUUAAUCGGAAUUACUGGGCGUAAAGCGUGCGCAGGCGGUUUUGUAAGUUUGUCGUGAAAUCCCCGGGCUCAACCUGGGAAUGGCCGAUGAAGACUGCAAGGCUAGAAUCUGGCGAGAGGGGGGUAGAAUUCCACGUGAUAGCAGUGAAAUGCGGUAGAGAUGUGGAGGAACACCGGAUGGCGCAAGGCAGCCCCCUGGGACGUAAC
rnacentral:rRNA from 1 species